rnacentral:tRNA from 1 species
UGGGCUGUAGCCAAGCGGUAAGGCAACGGACUUUGACUCCGUCAUUCCAUGGUUCGAAUCCAUGCUGCCCAACCA